UACAGAGGGGGCAAGCGUUGUUCGGAAUUACUGGGCGUAAAGGGCGCGUAGGCGGCCUUCUAAGUCGAACGUGAAAUCCCCGGGCUCAACCCGGGAACUGCGUCCGAUACUGGAAGGCUUGAAUCCGGGAGAGGGAUGUGGAAUUCCAGGUGUAGCGGUGAAAUGCGUAGAUAUCUGGAGGAACACCGGGUGGCGAAGGCGACAUCCUGGACCGGUAUUGACGCUGAGGCGCGAAAGCCAGGGGAGCAAAGCGGGAUUAAGAA
rnacentral:rRNA from 1 species